GAUGAACGCUGGCGGCGUGCCUAAUACAUGCAAGUCGAGCGAAGCGGGGACGGGUGAGUAAGACGUGGAUAACCUCCUAUAAGACUGGGAUAAAUUCGGGAAACCGGUGCUAAACCGGAUACUCAGAGAUGGAUGCUCGCUGCAUUAGCUAGUUGGUAAGGUAACGGCUUACAAAGGCAACGAUGCCUAGCCGACCUGAGAGGGGGAGCGGCCACACUGGAACUGAGACACGGUCCAGACUCCUACGGGAGGCAGCAGUAGGGAAUCUUCCGCAAUGGGCGAAAGCCUGACGGAGCAACGCCGCGUGAGUGAUGAAGGUCUUCGGAUCGUAAAACUCUGUUAUGAGGGAAGCGGUACCUAAUCAGAAAGCCACGGCUAACUACGUGCCAGCAGCCGCGGUAAUAC
rnacentral:rRNA from 1 species